GAACAUAUGAGCAUAACAAAAACUAGAAGCAUUCCAGAUAAAAGAAAAGAUCUGGAAAAGAGUAAAACAAACAUCCAAGUAUCAAACUGGAAGAAAAUAAAGGAUGGCGGAUGUGUUGUAAAAAUUACUGACCCCCAAUAAUUUUCCAUACUUUACAUAUAUAUGAGCGUAAUUUUUCAAUCAUUUUCCAUACUUCAGAGUUUAAUUACUACUCCAAUAAUAUUCUUCACCUUAUACCUCUGGUUAGGGCCCUAAUCCCGUUUGAGAGCAUAUGACAUUGUGAUUUUGUUUGUUGUUGGGGCGUUUCGAAUUCGCAUAUGUGAGAAAAUUUCGGCAGCAUCUCUCUAUAGUUCCCCAAGUGCACAAAUAUCUAUACCUAGAAUGCACUCGAGGAACAAUAAUUAAAGGAAGAUCUUGUCGAAAUAUAUAUACCCACAACCGAAAACGAAACACACCAACAACAAAUAGGAUCUCAAUGUUAUAUGCUCCCAAACUAUCCAAAUAUGAGACAAUUCGAAAACCAUUUUAUUAGACACAGUCGUAACAUAAUGGUUCUCGAACGGGAUUUCUAAAGGUAACAAUAUAUAUUGAUGAAUGUAUAAGAAUAUUAUAAUUCUUAAU
rnacentral:lncRNA from 1 species